GACGAACGCUGGCGGCGUGCUUAACACAUGCAAGUCGAACGGAAAGGCCCUGCUUUUGUGGGGUGCUCGAGUGGCGAACGGGUGAGUAACACGUGAGUAACCUGCCCUUGACUUUGGUAUAACUUCAGGAAACUGGGGCUAAUACCGGAUAGGAUCUCCUGCUGCAUGGUGGGGGUUGGAAAUUUUCGGCGGUUGGGGAUGGACUCGCGGCUUAUCAGCUUGUUGGUGGGGUAGUGGCAUACCAAGGCUUUGACGGGUAGCCGGCCUGAGAGGGUGACCGGCCACAUUGGGACUGAGAUACGGCCCAGACUCCUACGGGAGGCAGAAGGGGGGAAUAUUGCACAAUGGGCGGAAGCCUGAUGCAGCAACGCCGCGUGCGGGAUGACGGCCUUCGGGUUGUAAACCGCUUUCGCCUGUGACGAAGCGUGAGUGACGGUAAUGGGUAAAGAAGCACCGGCUAACUACGUG
rnacentral:rRNA from 1 species